AUUUAUAUAGUUUAAAAAAACAUUACAUUUUCACUGUAAAAAUAAAAUUAUAUUUUUAUAAAUU
rnacentral:tRNA from 1 species